GGGGAUAUAGUCUAGCCUGGUAGGACCGGUGCUUUGGGAGCAUCAAGCGCGAGUUCAAAUCUUGCUAUCCCCA
rnacentral:tRNA from 1 species